AUACGGAGGGUGCAAGCGUUGUUCGGAAUCACUGGGCGUAAAGGGCGCGCAGGCGGUUUGGUAAGUCAGAUGUGAAAGCCCACGGCUCAACCGUGGAAGUGCAUUUGAAACUGUCAGACUUGAGUACUAGAGGGGAAAAUGGAAUUCCCGGUGUAGAGGUGAAAUUCGUAGAUAUCGGGAGGAAUACCGGUGGCGAAGGCGACUUUCUGGCUAGAUACUGACGCUGAGGCGCGAAAGCGUGGGGAGCAAACAGGAUUAGAAACCCUAGUAGUCC
rnacentral:rRNA from 1 species